rnacentral:tRNA from 1 species
AGUUAAUGAACUUGUAAAGUUUGUGUUUUGAAAACACAAUAAAGAGGUUUAACCCUCUAUUAACUU